GAUGAACGCUGGCGGCGUGCCUAAUACAUGCAAGUCGAGCGAAUGGAUUAAGAGCUUGCUCUUAUGAAGUUAGCGGCGGACGGGUGAGUAACACGUGGGUAACCUGCCCAUAAGACUGGGAUAACUCCGGGAAACCGGGGCCAAUACCGGAUAACAUUUUGAACCGCAUGGUUCGAAAUUGAAAGGCGGCUUCGGCUGUCACUUAUGGAUGGACCCGCGUCGCAUUAGCUAGUUGGUGAGGUAACGGCUCACCAAGGCAACGAUGCGUAGCCGACCUGGGAGGUUGAUCGGCCACACUGGGACUGAGACACGGACCAGACUCCUACGGGAGGCAGCAGUAGGGAAUCUUCCGCAAUGGACGAAAGUCUGACGGAGCAACGCCGCGUGAGUCAUGAAGGCUUUCGGGUCGUAAAACUCUGUUGUUAGGGAAGAACAAGUGCUAGUUGAAUAAGCUGGCACCUUGACGGUACCUAACCAGAAAGCCACGGCUAACUACGUGCCAGCCGCCGCAGUAA
rnacentral:rRNA from 1 species